UAAAGAUUUUCAGUAUUUAUUUGUUUGGGUUUUGUUUAUGUGUACCCUUCUUCAUCACCAAAGAUUUGAGGCUACUGAAAAUGAAAACUGAAAUGGCAAUAAAAGAGAGGGGGUUGCAGAGAGGACACAGGAUGGGGAAAAUAGAAAUAAUUGCAGAAAAUUAUGACCCGAUGAAGAGCACAAUCACAGAAGCGGUAAGAGAUGGCAAGGUUGCCAGAGGGCUGCUUGCGCAUCCUCACAAUAUGGUGACUGUCUUCCCUCGGAAAGAGUGAUCCAAGAGAAAUCAAGGACAUGCUGCUGCCUCCUCCUGGAAGAAAGGGAGUGCUAUGAUAAUGGAAGGAGGGCACGGUGUCCCCUUGCAGGAGCCACUUUUGAUCCUGCCAGGACAAUCAAUCCUUCAAGAGCAGCAAGGCCCUGUGGGUACAGGAAGAGAGUGACCCUCAGAUCCCUUCCCUUUGCCCUAAUCAGGGCCACAUAGUAUACCAGAGACCUCAGGGAUAGUGACCCUGGAUGUUCUCAGAGAACUUCUGACCUUUGAACUUGGGGAUGGGCACAGGGAUGUGGCUAGCAUCGCAGCCUGGCCCACA